rnacentral:rRNA from 1 species
UCCGGGCGUNCAGGCGAUACGGGCACGACUAGAGUGCUGUAGGGGUAACUGGAAUUCCUGGUGUAGCGGUGAAAUGCGCAGAUAUCAGGAGGAACACCGAUGGCGAAGGCAGGUUACUGGGCAGUUACUGACGCUGAGGAGCGAAAGCAUGGGGAGCGAACAGGAUUAGAUACCCUGGUAGUCCAUGCUGUAAACGGUGGGCGCUAGGUGUGGGCUGUGUGUUUGCAGUCUGUGCCGUAGCUAACGCAUUAAGCGCCCCGCCUGGGGAGUACGGCCGCAAGGCUAAAACUCAAAGGAAUUGACGGGGGCCCGCACAAGCGGCGGAGCAUGUGGAUUAAUUCGAUGCAACGCGAAGAACCUUACCUGGGUUUGACAUGCACCAGAUCGGCGUAGAGAUACGUCCUCCCUUGUGGUUGGUGCACAGGUGGUGCAUGGUUGUCGUCGGCUCGUGUCGUGAGAUGUUGGGUUAAGUCCCGCAACGAGCGCAACCCUUGUCUUAUGUUGCCAGCACAUUUUUGGUGGGGACUCAUGAGAAACUGCCGGGGUCAACUCGGAGGAAGGUGGGGAUGACGUCAGAUCAUCAUGCCCUUUAUACCCAGGGCUUCACACAUGCUACAAUGGUCGGUACAACGGGUUGCGACACUGUGAAGUGAAGCUAAUCUCUUAAAGCCGGCCUCAGUUCGGAUUGGGGUCUGCAACUCGACCCCAUGAAGUCGGAGUCGCUAGUAAUCGCAGAUCAGCAACGCUGCGGUGAAUACGUUCCCGGGCCUUGUACACACCGCCCGUCACGUCAUGAAAGUUGGUAACACCCGAAGCCCAUGGCCUAACCACCGCUUUUGUGGUGGGGGG